UGCAUUCUGUUAUAUACACUUGUAGUCUAACGGUAAUUUUCUGUGUAGGGAAAGGUAGAAGCAGCCUUUUCCCUUAGGGGAGAGGUGUUGCUCAUUUUCCCUAACUAGGCCUGUGAUGAUUUUGAUAUCUGAGGCCAUGACCAACAGGCAAUGACUGUUGGUCCUUACUGUCGGUCUUUGUCUGCUGAGUUUUGCAGGUAUUGUAUGAUUUGGUUGCUUCAACAGAUUAUAUACCUAAUAUCAACCAUUAUAACUUCAAAUUCCCAUAAUCCUGGAGAGUCCUUUUGUUUUUGGGCAAUUGAUCAGCUUUAGACAAUCUGAUUCAAAGCCUGUAGCUUGUUGCAUACCUAAACCUUCCCUUACUAAGGCUGAAUGCAGAUUCCCUCUGUAUUUACCUCCAUCAAUAACUAUACAUCCAUAGAAGCAUAAGAUGAGCAGUCACAAUUAAAUUUAAGAAAGUCGAUUGCUGGUCGGCACCAUCUGCUUGGCCAAACAACUUGAGGGGGAGCAAGGCACUCCUUGAACUCAGAGAAAGCCCUUUCUGCAGUGUACCAACCAGUGAAAGUGAUCCUUUCACAUAAAUGGUCCGUUCCCUGAUUCAGCACCUUCCAUAAUGCAGUUACACCAUCUCUGAACAGAGGGGAACCCUAUUGGUGAUAGAAUGUACCCCAAUGGGCACACAGAGACCGCAU
rnacentral:lncRNA from 1 species